AGCAGUAGCCGCGGGAAUACGAAGGGUGCAAGCGUUAAUCGGAAUUACUGGGCGUAAAGCGUGCGUAGGCGGUUUGUUAAGUCUGCUGUGAAAUCCCCGGGCUCAACCCAUAGUCUGCAUGGAAAACUGUCAGGCUUGAGAAUGGGAGAGGUGAGUGGAAUUUCCGGUGUAGCGGUGAAAUGCGUAGAUAUCGGAAGGAACACCUGUGGCGAAAGCGGCUCACUGGACCAUUUCUGACGCUGAUGCACGAAAGCUAGGGGAGCAAACAGGAUUAGAUACCCCUGUAGUCCCUGUCUCUUAUAC
rnacentral:rRNA from 1 species